GAUGAACGCUAGCGGGAGGCCUAACACAUGCAAGCCGAGCGGUAUUGUUUCUUCGGAAAUGAGAGAGCGGCGUACGGGUGCGUAACACGUGUGCAACCUGCCUUUAUCUGGGGGAUAGUCUUUCGAAAGGAAGAUUAAUACUCCAUAAUAUAUUGAACGGCAUCGUUUAAUAUUGAAAGCUCCGGCGGAUAGAGAUGGGCACGCGCAAGAUUAGCUAGUUGGUGAGGUAACGACUCACCAAGGCGAUGAUCUUUAGGGGGCCUGAGAGGGUGAUCCCCCACACUGGUACUGAGACACGGACCAGACUCCUACGGGAGGCAGCAGUGAGGAAUAUUGGUCAAUGGGUGCAAGCCUGAACCAGCCAUCCCGCGUGAAGGACGACUGCCCUAUGGGUUGUAAACUUCUUUUGUAUAGGGAUAAACCUACCCUCGAGAGGGUAGCUGAAGGUACUAUACGAAUAAGCACCGGCUAACUCCGUG
rnacentral:rRNA from 1 species